rnacentral:rRNA from 1 species
AGUGAACGCUGGCGGUAGGCCUAACACAUGCAAGUCGAACGGCAGCACAGUAAGAGCUUGCCUUUACGGGUGGCGAGUGGCGGACGGGUGAGGAAUACAUCGGAAUCUACUUUUUCGUGGGGGAUAACGUAGGGAAACUUACGCUAAUACCGCAUACGACAUACGGGUGAAAGCAGGGGAUCUUCGGACCUUGCGCGAUUGAAUGAGCCGGUGUCGGAUUAGCUAGUUGGCGGGGUAAAGGCCCACCAAGGCGACGAUCCGUAGCUGGUCUGAGAGGAUGAUCAGCCACACUGGAACUGAGACACGGUCCAGACUCCUACGGGAGGCAGCAGUGGGGAAUAUUGGACAAUGGGCGCAAGCCUGAUGCAGCCAUACCGCGUGGGUGAUGAAGGCCUUCGGGUUGUAAAGCCCUGUUAUUGGGAAAGAAAAGCUGUGGGUUAAUACCCCGCUGUUCUGACGGUACCCAAAGAGUAAGCACCGGCUAACUUCGUG